UACGAAGGGGGCUAGCGUUGCUCGGAGUCACUGGGCGUAAAGCGCACGUAGGCGGAUUCUUAAGUCAGGGGUGAAAUCCUGGAGCUCAACUCCAGAACUGCCUUUGAUACUGGGAGUCUCGAGUCCGGGAGAGGUGAGUGGAACUGCGAGUGUAGAGGUGAAAUUCGUAGAUAUUCGCAAGAACACCAGUGGCGAAGGCGGCUCACUGGCCCGGUACUGACGCUGAGGUGCGAAAGCGUGGGGAGCAAACAGG
rnacentral:rRNA from 1 species